rnacentral:misc_RNA from 1 species
UCUAUACAGAUUACUUCUGUAACAAGUCUCAGGAGAAAUAUCUUCAUGAAGUGUCCUUCGAUGGUUUUUGGUCCAAAAAUACUCGAGAGAUAUGGAAUCAUCAAAAGCUUUUAUCGUUGGCAUUUCCACGACAUUGUGGCACUCGUAAAAAGGACACGCGCGUCUCGUCGCGUCAGGAGUUUUUUUAUUGUCUCGAGCUGUCCUAGCGAGUUGCGAAUUGCGAUUGCGUUGCAAAACCUUGCAGUGGAACAUCGGUUCUUUACGAUAAGUGACACUAGAUAGCUCGAAAACAAAAGAGAACAUAGCCAACCGAAGGAAGAAGAACCAGACGAAAUCGCGAACGAGCUGAAUGUACAGUCGGCGAUAAAAAUAAAUGGACACGCUGGACAAA